rnacentral:rRNA from 1 species
GAUGAACGCUGGCGGCGUGCCUAAUACAUGCAAGUCGAGCGAACAGACGAGGAGCUUGCUCCUCUGACGUUAGCGGCGGACGGGUGAGUAACACGUGGAUAACCUACCUAUAAGACUGGGAUAACUUCGGGAAACCGGAGCUAAUACCGGAUAAUAUAUUGAACCGCAUGGUUCAAUAGUGAAAGACGGUUUUGCUGUCACUUAUAGAUGGAUCCGCGCCGCAUUAGCUAGUUGGUAAGGUAAAGGCUUACCAAGGCAACGAUGCGUAGCCGACCUGAGAGGGUGAUCGGCCACACUGGAACUGAGGAACGGUCCCGACUCCUACGGGAGGCAGCAGUAGGGAAUCUUCCGCAAUGGGCGAAAGCCUGACGGAGCAACGCCGCGUGAGUGAUGAAGGUCUUCGGAUCGUAAAACUCUGUUAUUAGGGAAGAACAAAUGUGUAAGUAACUAUGCACGUCUUGACGGUACCUAAUCAGAAAGCCACGGCUAACUACGUG